rnacentral:lncRNA from 1 species
UCAAAAGAACAACGGGCCACAUACAAAGUAGAUGAACAUAUAGCAACAAGAAAAUAGUAAUCACAGAGUACUAAUUCUCAUCACACGUGUAUGGAACAAUAGAAAGAAAUUGAAUACAGGGAAUACUACACCACUUAUUCUAAUAAUAGCACACUGUGGCUCCGUAUUGGGUCUCCUCCGUCAAGUGUCGUAUAUAAGUAUCCCAUCAAUUAUGUGUUGCCGGUGGUUUGCACUUCGGAGGCGGCUUCGGUUUCGGUUCAGGUUUAGGCUUGGGCUCCGGCUUUGGUUCGGGUUUCGGCAUCGGCUCGGGCUUAGGACCUGGCUUUGGUUUGGAGCAGGGCUCGGGCUUUGGUUUUGGCAUUGGCUUGGGCUUGGGUUCUGGUUCGGGCUUCUCUCCGGGCUUUUGUUUAGGCUUUGGUUUGGGUUUUGGCAUCGGUUCAGGUUUGCAGGGCUCUGGCUCUGGUUGUGGCGCAGGUUUGGACAUUGGCUCUGGUUGUGGCGCAGGUUUGGACAUUGGCUCUGCUUUGGGUUCUGGCUUUGGCUCUAGCUCUGCAAAAUUCUCGACAGCAGCAAGGCCUCGGCCAGCCGCAACAACUUGGUUGAGAGUGGAGGCUGCAACUACCCCGAUGAGGAGCACGGCGAGGAGGCGAUGCCUCGCCAUUGCUGCCUACUUCUUGUGCUUGCAAGUUGUGUUGCACCUGUUGUGGUUUGUGUGUGUUUGUGUAUGUUGUGUGGAGAAUGGAGAUACAUAUGGUGUGGUUUUAUAGGCAGGGUGAAACAAAGCAGAUCUAGAUGCUGCAUUAAUUAACAUUGCAGCUAGCUAGCUGGAGUGACAAGUAGUACUGCGUAACAUGGCAAUGGAGCUAUAUUGGUCGAUUAGUUGAUUACAAAUGAAGCAACCAACGUAGCUAGAGGUGUUAAUAAGCACAGCUGGAUUUUGCGUGUGUGUCUCUAUGUGAUGAUAGUGGGGUGAGUAACAAUAUUUUUACUCUAUUGGUUGGCCUCCUGGUAGUAAUAGAAUCAUGUUAGUUGCCUUGUCAGUCCUGUUCACACGUCCAUGUGACCGGCCAUCAUUUAGAAAUCAAGAUCGAUGCUGUACACGUUAGUGCCAUUACAAAGUAGAAAAAGAAAAAGAAAAAAGCAACCGCUUCAGUUCAAUUCACAAUUCCAAGUUUUUGCGCACUCGUGUUUUCUCAAGCACUCUAUCUAGCCCGGUAUAGUUGGGCAGUUUCAGAAUUGUAGAUACCAAUGAGGAUUUUAUCAUGCUUAUUGUCUCAAAUUAUUAAAUCUUAUAACUCUCUGAUAAGCUAGGUUAUUUUGACGUUGCAUGCCCCUCAUUCUCCAGUCUCAUGCAUGCGUGUGCUUUAGACUUUAGUUAUGCAUGUAUGAUUUUCCAAAAAGGGUUUCAUGGAGACGGAGCUCCAAAACGAACUGGGUUGGUGAGUUUAGCACCGCCAUAUAUUCUGAUAGAGUAAGGAUUAUAUUGUGGUAAUGUUCUUUCCCUCCGUUUGUCAUAUUUUGAAUCAAGAGGGUUUCAUUGUAAUUCUUAGUUAUAGGAGUUAUUUUAUAAUUUCUUGUAUCUAUGAUCGAAGCAUUGUAUCUAUGAUUUUGUUGAGUUUGAAUAAAGUCACAUGCCCUUCUGAGCCACGCGGAAUACCGCACCACCAAUCGCGCUCACGCUUGAGACCGCCGUCGCCGGUGGCUGAUCUCCCUCCUCUGGUCGCCUCCGGCCCAGCCAAGUACAGAUCCGGGACCCUCCCGACGUCCUCUCUCCAGCCAUCCCGAAGUUUGGCACCGUCUUCACCGGUUCUCUCCCCGCUGAGCGGCUCGAGUUGGGCCCUCCACCUCUCCCGGUCCCGGUCACGUGCGGCUGCGCGGCCGCAUCGGGGCGCCCCUGUGGGCCCGAGCAAGCCCCCUGCGCCUUUCUAUUCUCUCGCCUCCGCCGAAGCCGUCGCGGGGCAAAAUCCUGGCAGCAGGACCCCUCGGUCAUCGUUCUCGAGCGUGGGGGCGGCGCUACUCCAGGCGGUGAUGCUCCGGUGUCAGGGGAUCCUUCCUUGGCUUGUGGAGCUGCGGUGGCGGCGGUGAGCCACAAUUUUGGAUGGCGGCGCGGCGCCGUCGUUUAGGCCGGUGUCUCCGGUGGUCGUGGAGGUGCUGGUCGUCCGGUUAGAGGUGACGAGGUCAUGGCUGAUGCUGGAGGAUGUGGCUGGAGCUGAUGCGGGGUGUGCCGUUGCUACUACGGGGCGGAUCUAGCAGGCUUGCCGUGGUGGGCGCCAGAUCCGACCGGUUUGGCUGGCUCCGGCUCGCCGGCUUUUGCAGGCGGUGAGGUUGAUGGCUCCUGCGUGAGGGUGGCGUCGUCGUCGCGUAGGAGGUGUGUGGUACAGCGGGCUUGCAGACCAGUGGUGAUGCGCCACCGGUUGCAUGUGUGGGGGGGGGGGCUCAGCGAGGUGGCUCCAGGCGAAAUCCUAGACGGCACGACGUCCGUGAACGUCGUUUUUCCUCCUUGGGGGUCGUUGUGGAGCCCUUCCUUGCCCAACACCUUCGAACCAUGGACGCCCCCCCUUGGGGGCGUUGCCUUGAGGGUCACUGGUCUCUUCCGUGCUUUCCGGAGCUGGACACACACGACAUCGGGGUCGGCAGGUACCCGUCUGGCGAUGUGGUUGGCGCGACUUCUUGUGUGGUGACGAUGGCGGCUUCAAGCGAAGUUGGUUUGCUGUUGAGUUUUGGUAGUCGGUCUCAUCCCGCGUGUUCGAGGGGUUGCCGCGCCUCACUUUGUCUUCCUGGAGUCGGAGCUGCUGAGGCGGGGCCUUGCGACGACGAUGACGCGAGGCGGGUGGUCGAUUGUGGCGCUGGCUCGGCUCAGGCUCAGUUGUUUUCUCCUACAAUGCUCGUCGACAGAGUUGGAACUGCUUGGUAGUUGGCGUGUGCGGUUGACUGUUUGGCAGUGGCCGGCAUGGGCCUCGGUGUUUGCUUGUGGUGAGGGCUGUUUUGAUGGUCAUCGAUGAUGUAGUCGGAGUCGCCCUUGUGUAGGUGUGAUGAUGAUGACACCGGGUUGCAGCCUCGACGGUGUUCUCUCUUCGGCGACGUGUGUGCGUUCUUAUGUGGGUUGUCACGUCGCCAUGCGUAUCCUGUAUGGACGUGGUGUAGCAGGUUUCACUCGGUUUUUCGUUAAUUAACCCAGCAAUUCUCUUUUUCUUAAUUAAUGGGAUGAGACAAUGCUUUUGCCUGCGUUUAAAAAAACACUAGCUAGCCGACAGUUUGUUCAAUGCGUGCUGUCAUUUUGCACAAAUGCCUAUGUCUCUACCUACUGUGAGGCGCUCACUUGUUGGGAUGUGGUGCGGGCUGUGGUCCGGUUGCGGUGGAGGAGUAACAUUAGUUUGUUUCGUGCAAUUUUCAAAACAUUUCGUCGGAGUUUUUUUCCUGUUUUCUUUAUUGGGUUUCUUUUUUUUCAUUUUCCCUUUUACUUUUUCUGUUCAUUUAUUUCAUGUAUUGUUUUGUAUUUUAUUUUUCCAUAUUUCAAAUACAGCUUGAUUUUUUUUUCAAAAUAGUAAACAUUUUAAAGUAACCAUAGAAUAUUUUCUAAUACAUGUUUGAACGUUUUAUAAGUACAUGGUGAACAAUUUUUAUAUACAAUGAAUAUUUCUCUAAAAACUGCAAGAACACAUUCUGUUUAUUUAAUGAACAUUUUUAUAUUGCCAUGACCAAUUUUAUAAACAUGCGAAAAAAAUUAAAAUGUAGUGUUUUUUUGGAACAAUGCGAAUAUGAAUUUUAAAACUCUGGAAUAAUUUUUAAGACAAGUUGACAUUUUUUAUUUUUUUACGAGAAAACUUCGGAUGUAUUUAUCCAUUGUCAUGUUAGUAUAAGAAUACCAGAACUAACAUAACUUACAUUCAGAUCCAUAGACCAUCUAACGAUGUCUACAAUCACUUGAUCAAGCCGAAAGUGCACCAUGAUCCUCACUCCUCCCUCAUCGGAGUCGGACAAUGUCCAGUCAUGUUUUUUUUACAAACUGUUAAUCAUGUAUGAAUUUUUCUAUUGUGUAUUUCAAAAUUAUCAUGGAUUUUUAAAAAAUAUUGUGCAUUUUUAGAAAAACUGUUAUUUCAAAGGUUCAUCAUGUAUGAAAAGAAAUCUUCAUCAUAAAUUGUUCAAAUUGUCCACAGUGUAUAAAUUCAGAAAAAUAUGAAGACUUUUUAAUUCUAUGUGUAUUUGAAAAAUGUUUAAUAUUUUGAAACGUUUUAUAAAUACACGAUGAAUAUUUUUAAGUAUAUUAACAGCUAUUAUACUGCAUGAUCACCUAUCAAUAGUACAAACCCAUAUAUUUUAUACGCGAUGAAAAAAUCUGUUAAUAAUAAUUUUCAUGGUGCCUUUUCUUGGAAAUCUUGACCUAGGGUGUAGUUACCUUUCACACAUAUCCGAUAUAUAUUUAAGUAAGUCAUCCCAUUUAAAUGCACAUGCAUGUCAAUCACAUUAUGAAGGGUAUGCAACCAAUAAACUUCCACUUACCACUUUUCAUCACAUGCAGGUCCUCGAUAUCAUCAAGCGUGCAUGUAAUCAUUCGACGUUUCACUUCUCAUCAUAUGCAAGUUCCACAUCAUCAAACACAUGAAAGCUCUUCACCUCAUUAUUUUUUACUAUUUAUUUUUUAGCAACAAAUAAUUGAACUUGAAGGUCACAAGAAAAUAUAUUAUGCGUGCACCCUCUAGUUACAUCUAGGUUUUCUAUUGCCAUAUGCUGAGAAUGUUGUGUGGUAUUAUUCCUACAUAUGCUAUUUUUCAUAAUUUCAUUGCUAUAAAUUUUCGUGACAAUGUGUGUGACGUUUACCUAGUAGUAGCAGAGCCAGCUUACUCACACAGCCUGGGCAUAAAUAUAACAGCGUGCCUAGAACUUAUCUAGACCAGAUAUAAUUUAGUCGCAUUCAUCUAGAAAAUCAAAACAGAUACAAAGUAGUACUACAACUCACGUCGGCACACGCACAUCUUAUAGUCACAUCCAAUGACUAUAAAAGAUGAACGAGACAUAACUAAAAUUCAGUUAGAUGAGUUUUAGCAAAACCGUAAAUAUAACGCACUCGGUCGGGACUUACUUCGUAGGUGAAGGGUAGAGAAGAAGGCCACUGUCUUGCGUGUGAGUGCACUUUAUACAUCUAGAACACCAGACACGUAUACAUAUGUGAUAUGUCUGCUGCUAGGAAGUCAUUCUCUUCUCUUUUGUUGACAUUAGCUUUCCCCCCAAAAAAGACCAUAUAAUAUGAAACAAUCACAUAGAGAGAAAAUAACAGGGACUGCACCCCAUAGAGAAAACAACAUAGACUGCAGUCCACUGACAAAAUAGCUCAUUUAUGUUUUGUUGUUUGGAAAAGGAGGUUCAAACCCCCGGCCUCUGCAUCAAUCGAUGCAUACGGUAGCUCAUUUAUGUGAAUACAAUCAUGCGUAGAUACUCCAAAGAACAACAAGUCGAGUCACAAUGUCCCAUACAAAGUAGAUGAACAUAUACCAACAAGCAAAUACUAGUAAUUACAGAGUACUAGUACUCAUCACGCGUAUAUGGAAAAAUAGAAUGAAAUGGAAUACAGGGAAUACUACUACACCACUUAUUCUAGAAAUAGCACAGUGGGGCUUGGUACGGGGUCUCCUCCUCCAUCAACUCUCAUAUAUAAGUAUCCCAUCAGUCGUGAGCUGCCGGUGGUUUGCACUUCGGAGGUGGUUCAGGUUUAGGCUCGGGCUCCGGCUUUGGUUCGGGUUUCGGCAUCGGCUCGGGCUUAGGAUCUGGCUUUGGUUUGGAGCAGGGCUCAGGCUUUGGUUUUGGCAUUGGCUUGGGCUUGGGUUCUGGUUCGGGCUUCUCUCCAGGCUUUUCUUCAGGCUUUGGUUUCGGCAUCGGUUCAGGUUUGCAGGGCUCUGGCUCUGGUUGUGGUGUAGGUUUGGACAUUGGCUCUGGUUUGGGUUCUGGCUUUGGCUCUAUCUCUGCAAAAAUUUCGACAGCAGGAAGGCCUCGGUCAGCCGCGGCAGCUUGGUUGAGAGUGGAGGCUGCAACUACCCCAAUGAGGAUCAUGGCGAGGAGGCGAUGCCUCGCCAUUGCUGCCUACUUCUUGUGCUUGCAGCUAGUGUUGCACACCUGCUGUGCUUUGUGUGUGGUUGUGUGUGUUGUGUGGAGAACUGGAGAUACAUAUUGUGUGGUUUUAUAGGCUGGGUGAAACAAAGCAGAUCUGGAGGCUGCAUUAAUUAGCAUUGGUUGAUUAGUUGAGUACAAAUGAAGCAACAACCAACGUAGCUAGAGGUGUUAAUAAGAACAGUUGGAUUUUGCCUGAGUGUGUCUCUAAUGCGAUGAUAGUAGGGUGAGUAACAAUAUUUUUACUCUAUUGGUUGCCUCCCGGUAGUAAUAGAAUUCUGUUAGUUGCCUUGUUAAUCUUGUUCACACGUCCUUGUUAGUUGCAUCAUUUAGAAAAAUCAAGAUCGACAGUGUACACGUUAGAGUAAUGCACUACAAGUAAAAAAGCAAUCGCUUGAGUUCAAUUCACAAUGAAAAGUGAAGGUAGUCUUUGAAGAGGAACUGGCUUGAUCGUACGUGCACGUCGUGUGUGAGCUUCACCACCUGUUGGAAACCCUCAAGACUCCUUGGUCUGCUUCCUCGACCGAGUUUUCACGAACUCUGCUGUGUUUUCUCAAGUGGUUUUCAAGAAGGUGGCGUUGGAUUAAUCCAUGCACAAGUUUUGCCAGAUUAUGCUGAAUGAUAUAACAAAAGUGAAGGUGUACAUCAUUUGAUGUCGAUGACGGGGUUCCUCCUUUAACAAAUAAGUGUUUUCUCAAACACUCCCUCUGGCCGGUAUACUGGGCACAGUUCCAAAAUUGUAGAUAUCAAUGAGGAUUUUAUCACGCUUAUUGUCUUAAAUUAUUAAAUCUUAUUAACUCUCCGACAAACUAAGAGCAACUCUAACAGAUCGUGUAUUCUAUGAAACUGUAGAUGUGAUUUAUAGUUCGCACAGCAGGAUCUAUACAGGCUGAAAAUUACAGCGGUAGAAUAGAAACCGUAAAAGAAACUCAAAUUUGCUUGUUGGCUUGAUGACGUGAGUCUCGCCGCCUCCUUCUCCCCUAAUAAUAAAGCAACUAACGCUUCGGUCGUCCGUCGUCGCCGAUCGCAGGACGUUUUGCAGAAAGGCUCCUAAGGUUUUAGGUAUUCAACCCGCGGUCCCUUUUAAGUGGUAUCUGAGAAAACGUUUCAGUUUUGCAAAUUAACCACUGCAUCUCGUGAGAAUUCGAUCCGCACUCCUUUGUUCUAUCUUCUCUAGUGGUGGAGAAGGUGGAAGGGGAAUAACUUCAGCUCGGCUCGUCGGCGAGCGUGUUGCAGGAGGCCGACGAGGAGGCCAGUGGGCGUUGUGCGCUUACAGGGGAGCGGGUAGGCCGGAGGUGGAGGGGAUGGCCGGAGGCUGAGGGCAGUGGAGAGAGAGGCCGAGAGAGUCGGCCCGAGGGAGGGGGGACUGAGAGAAAGAGAGAGAGAGUGUGUGUGUGAGCCGGAGAGGGGCGGUCGCCGGAGCCGGACCUCCAGAACAACGACGCAACAAUCUGGAUGGCACAACGGCUUUGAUCCCGGAGAAUGGUGAUUGAUGGCUGCCAACAGACGGAUCCGGGCGAAGGAGGCUCUGAGAGGCGCAUGGAAGGCUGUCAAGGUUGGGGGCGCCGGAUCCAGAGUUCGCAUGGUGAGAGAUGGGGAGAGGGUAGAAUCUUGCUAGUAUAAGACGAGUUAGAGAAGCGGCAACGCCUGCAGAACAGAGCAUGAAGGCAGCUCCUUUUGAGGAGGCGACGACGGACGACAGAGCUCGUGACUGCGACCUUCUCGGCUCCUGCCGGCGUGGUCACUCAAUUCGCUCCACGGCGCGAUGGCCCAUUGCCGGCAAGGCAGCGUUCUGCAACGCACCAGCCUGCAAUGGAGGCGGUGUCCAUGGUGCAGCCGUGGCCUUCAGCGCACACCGCGGGGGAAGUGCUACCGGACACCGGCUUGGCCCCGAUGCUGCUCCUCCCAGACGGUGGUACCCAUGGCCUGGCCCACUAGCCCCCGACUGAGCUCCCAGCAGAGGCGCACAUCGAUGGAGGCUUCGAGCAGGCCGCUCUGCCAUGCUUGUGCAAUGGGGGUCUGCCCGCGUGCUGGGGUGGGGAUGCACGGAUGGACAGAUCCUGGCAGUGGCUGCCACGGUGGCCGGGCACUAAGUACCGGAGUGAUUCGUGGGUGCAGCACGGACAGCUGUUGUGAGGAGCACAGCCAGGCAUCAGCGCUGGUCUCCUCUUCUCUGUAGCUGCAGGAGGAAUGGUGAUGUUUUGGAUAAGGGUCACGUAGUGCGCAGUUAGGUGAAGAUUUAGUGCCUAUUGCUAUUUUUUGAUCAAUAGUUGUUGGUAGAUGUACACGGACUUAAGCUGCUGGAUACUUCGGUGCUCAUCCCGUUGGAUUUAUAUGCGAUUGUUCGUGACGUUCCAACAAAUUGUUAUUUGCUAGAUGUUCUUUUUCACAUUAGUUCAUUAUAAUUAUUUGAUUGUACCGCCUUAUAGAGCAUCUACAACCGGACUUAACAAAUCUGACCUCUCAAACGUUCAUGGAAACGUCCGGACGCAUCUGCGGACGUUGAUCAAUUAAGCCUCAAAUAACGAAUUCUACAACCGGAUACUUUAAAUUAGAAACCUCAAAUAUAUAUUAUUACAUGCAACAUAAAUCUAAUAUUAAGCGUGGCUCGUUUGGGUCCGCCCUGUCCAUGUCGAAAGGCUAGAUAUGCCCUUCAUAGUGUCCGUCCGAUCGUUAGCAAGGUAGAGUAGGACAUGGGACACUGGCCGGUUCAUGGAAGUCGAGUUUCCGUCGUCUUCCAUGCCCAAUUCUUCCUUAAAUUUAUCACUUAGUGUUACUACAGAACAAUCCAACCGUCAACUGCAAAGUUAGUAUACGGAACUACAUGAUCAGCUUCAAGGAGCAUGUCUACGUGCUCCAACACUAGCGCAUUCAUGAAUAUUUGUUUAUAAUUUGUACAAAAACUUAUUUGGACUUAUUUAAAAUUGUAAACAUUCUAAUGAUCCUAUUUUAUAAUGUUUGUAUAAGUAAAAUCAAAUUUCAUGGCUAAAAGAAAUACUCAGUGUAACCUUACUUCUAAAGCUUGCAAAAAUUAGAUUAAAAUAAUAUUGCAUAAUGACACAGGAAGAAAAUUAUAUUUAACAUUUCGGCCGGUGCAACGGCACGGGCAUUUGUAUUAGUAGAUGUCUAUGACAGCAAGGCACGAACUUGUCACUCCCCGUAGGCAUAUUACCAGUGCCACCCAUUCGUCGAAGCAUGUUAAAUGUUAGCGCACUAAUUUAUAAAAAAAUAAUUUGUGCAUUUACUUUUGUUGUCAGUUUUAGGAUUAAUAUAAUGUUGCUUAAAAAUAUUUGUCGGGUGCUGAAAAAAGGGGAAAAGGACGAUCAAUUUGCCAACUUCACACAAGGGCUCUCAAAAUCAUAGAGCCGACCCUGCCAGCACCAUGUGACUUGUGAGAGAUUAUUAUGGCUUCUCGUAUGUUGUGUAGCACUAUCAUUAAGAGCAAUUCUAGCAGACCCUGCAUCCGCCCCCGAUCUGCAAAAUAACCGCUAAAAUGCGGGUACGGACCGAAAAGCCUGUCCGACCAGACCCUGCAUCCCAUCCCGGCCCGUAAAUUUUUUUCAGGGGCGCGGCAAAUUCUCGACCCCAACCCGGGAAAACACGGGUUUCCCCCUCGCGGCUGCGGUGCCCUGCAUCACAGAGAAGCAGUUGGCGGGAGGGACAUUUCAGCCCGUGCUCUUUUCCCCCUCCUUCCGCCGCCGCCCACCCUUGCUUCCGCUCGCCCGCCGCCGGCGAUUCCGGCCAUAUCUGCAGGCGAGCCGCUGCAUCGCCCCUCCAGAUCCGGCGAGAAGAGUCGCCCCCCCCCACCGCCGGGGAUCGACCACCGUCAAGCGCACCCCCUCGUCGCCGCCCGGGAUCACCCGCCACCGGUUAGUCCCCUUUUUGCGAUUUUUGCGAGCUGUGCGAGAAGAUGGAGUUGACCCCGUGCGAGAAGUUUUUACUAUCCGAUUCGUCCGAUUCGGACGACUCGUAUGUUGAGACCAUGCUUGCGAUCUUUCGGCAGCAAACAUUAGUCAUGGCGCUUGCCGUGAAGGAGCAUGAAGACGAGCACUGGAAGAGGAGGCGAGGAUCGAUUGUCGGGCGCUUGUGCAUUCCUCGAAAUCGCCAUCUUGGGAACGAGAUGUUGAUGCAAGACUAUUUCGCGGAGAAUCCUACAUAUCCUCCGCACCUCUUCCGGAGAAGGUACCGAAUGCGCCGAUCCCUCUUUGUGAAACUUGUUCAAGCUUGCGAGGCAAAUUGCCGGUAUUUUACUCAAAGAAGGAAUGUCGCGGGCUGAAAGGCUUGGUUGUUGUUGUUGUUGUUGUUGUUGUAAGGAAUGCUGCGGGCUUAAAGGGAUUUAGUGCAUAUCAAAAAAUCUCCGCACCUAUGGGGGGUGAUUGCAUAUGGCGUUCCGGCUGACUAUGCCGAUGAGUAUCUUCGUAUUGGUGAAUAUAGCACAAUUGAGUCUGUGCGUAGAUUUGCGAAAGUGAUCAUCCGUGUCUUCGGUCCUGAGUAUCUUCGGGCACCCAAUGAAGGACACAAAGAAAUUGAUGGCAUCUGAUGAGAGGAGAGGUUGGCCUGGCAUGCUAGGUAGCAUUGAUUGUAUGCAUUGAAAUUGGAAAAAUUGCCCCAAGGCUUGGCAAAGAAUGUAUUGUGGCAAGUCUAGUGAUGCAACAAUUGUGCUAGAGGCCGUAGCAUCUGAAGAUUUAUGGAUUUGACAUUGCUUUUUUGGUAUGUCGGGAACUCUCAAUGAUAUCAUUGUGUUGCAACGGUCUCAUUUAUUUGCUAGGCUUGCUAGUGGUGAUGCUCCUGCUUGCAACUACAUUAUCAAUGGGCAUGAAUACACAAAGGGGUACUAUCUUGCAGAUGGUAUGUACCCUCCUUGGUGCACAUUUAUCAAGAGCAUCAAAGAACCCAAAACAAAAAAACAAUGUGAAUUUGCAAGGGUGCAAGAGGCAGCCCGCAAAGACAUUGAAAGAGUAUUCGGUGUUUUGCAAUCUAGGUUUGCCAUUGUCCGUGAUCCUGCUCGUUUUUGGGAUAAGAAAACCUUGAAGAACAUCUUGACAUGUUGUGUUAUCCUGCACAAUAUGAUUCUUGAAGAUGAGAGAGGAUUGGACUUAGAAUUAUUUUACGACAAUGUGGGUAGCCGUGUUUAACCAGCUAGAGACCCAAACCACAUUAGAGAUUUUCUUCAGACAUACAAGGAGAUUGAAAAUGCAGACACGUACUUUCAACUUCAGGAAGAUCUCAUUGAGCACCAUUGGCAAAGGGCUGGACAGUGACUUAUUUUUGUAUUCAUUUGUAUUUGCAUUCAUGACAAGUUUUGUAUUGCACUAUUUAAGUUUGCUACGGUUAUUUGAAUAAUUAUUUAUAAUGCGGAUGAUUAUUGUAUUAUGUUUGAUUCGAAUAAUUUAGUUUGUUUUCGAUUGUUGAAUUAUGUUGUAUUUGAUACUUGCGGGUUGAUGAUAUGCGGGAUGUAGCGGCGCAAAGAGCAGACCCCGCAAAGCCGACCCGUUAAAAAGUAUAUUCCACGAAUGUAUUUUUUUACGGAUCCGUUUGGGGGGUCUGCAUAUGUGUCAGCCUGCAAAAGCUGUUUUGCGCGAACUGCAAACGCGUGUUGUGGACCGGCGGGAUGUGGGGUCUGCUAGAGUUGCUCUAAGAGAUUUUUCUUCGUGCGAACUGAGUAAGAGAAAAUCUUUUAAAAUAACUUUCAUGGUGCCUUUUCUUCGUAAUCUUGACCUAUGGGGUGUAGUUACACGUAAUCUUUGUAAUCUUGUUGGCAGCGCAGGUGGUGGCGGCAACGCAGGACGGCCGGCGGGCGAACGGGACAGAGCAGCAUCGAGUGGCCACCCCUAGGAUUGAUUUGGGGACGUUGUUGGAUGGUCUCACAUGUCAGAUCCAGACCCACAUCCAUGCGGUUCCACAUGUAAGAUCCGGACCCACUAUCACUAACGCCGGCGGACGGAAUGGACUCAAAACUGCCCGUUUGGCCUCGUCAUAGUAGUUGCGCACGGGCUAGAGGCAAAACUGAGCACGAUUUGCAACUGAGGGCAAAAGUGAGCAUAUGGACACCACUGAGAACAAAAAGAUAAUUAUCCCUAUUAAAUAGUGGUGCUUUUUCUACGAAUAUAAUCAAUUCCAUAAUGCUAUCCGCUUUGACCAUCCUAUUACCCUAAAUGGAAAGCAAAGUAGGUUAUUCAGCACACCAUAACUUCGUUCCUUGGUUGACUGCCUGGCCUUCAAGAAACUAGAAAAAAUGUAAUAACUCACUUCACUAUGAGCGGCUCCCUCCCCACCAAUUGGGUAGAUGGAAGCUAUAUACGUAUAGAAAAAAGUAAACCACAAUGAGAAACAUACUUGCCCCAUUAGCAUCCAUAUGACGGAGCAACCAGCCCCCUUCAACAUCUUUCAUAAUGUGUUCUACGCUGUUGAAAGCUAGAUCCACAUGAGGUGUGUGAUGCAUAAUACACCUCAAUGUGUGCUGCUAUUUAGGGAGUCCUUCUCGGGAGGGGCGUUUUGGCUCCCGGGUACAAAUGCUCCUGGGUGAACAGUAACGCAAAAAUUAUUAGAAAACAAUUUAAAAAAAUCUGAAUUUAUUUGUGGGUGUUCGUGUUAGUGUCACAAACAUGCCUGCCAAAUUUCAUGCAAAACGAAGCAGUGCUGCUUCGUCGGUGAAAAAAACAAAUUUGGAUGACAUUUUGAGAUAACAUUUGGUGUUUUAGUUUGUUUUUUCUUUUACACGGGCAAAAAAAAUUAAGCUUUUUGCCUAAAAAAUUUCAGGUAGCAUUUGGAUGUGAGAAAGAACACAUAAAAAUUGUGUUAUGAUUAUUUGACAUUUCAAAAAUUAUUUUCCAUAGGCAGGUGCACGUGCACCCAGGAGCCGAAUUGCAUUUCCGGUCCUUCUCUUCUUUUUAGUUGGCAUCAUCUUUGCCCCAAAAAAGACCACAUAAAAUGAAACAAUCCCUUUUAGAAAAUAACUGAGGCUGCACCACAUAGAGAAAACAACAUAGACCGCAGUCCACUUAUAAAAUAGCUCAUCCAUGUAAAUGAAUACAAUCAUGCGCAGAUACUCAAGAGAACAACAAUUCGACUCACAUACAAAGUAGAGGAACAUAUAUCAACAAGCAAAUAAUAAUUACAGAGUACUAAUACUCAUCACACGUGCAUGGAACAAUAGAGAGAAAUGGAAUACAAGGAAUAUUACACCACUUAUUCUAGAAAUAGCAAAGUGUGGCGUAUGGGGUCUCCUCCAUCAACUGUCAUAUAUAGGUAUCCCAUCAAUUGUGUGCUGUCGGUGGUUUGCACUUCGGAGGCGGCAUCGGUUUCGGUUCAGGUUUAGGCUUGGGCUCCGGCUUUGGUUCGGGUUUCGGCAUCGACUUGGGCUUAGGCUCUGGCUUUGGUUUGGAGCAGGGGACGGGCUUGGGUUUUGGCAUCGGCUUGGGCUUGGGUUUUGGUCCAGGCUUCUCCCCUGGCUUUUGUUCAGGCUUUGGUUUGGGUUUGGGCAUCGGUUCAGGUUUGCAUGGCUCUGGCUCUGGGUGUGGCAUAUAUUUGGGCAUUUGCUCUUGUUUGGGUUCUGGCUUUGGCUUUACCUCUGCAAACUUCUCGACGGCAGCAAGGUCUCGCCCAGCCGCAGCUCCUUGGUUGAAGGCGGAGGCUGCAACUACCCCGACGAGGAGCACGGCGAGAAGGCAUUGCCUCGCCAUUGCUGCCUAUUUCUUGUGCUUGCAGCUAGUGUUGCACCUGCUGUGUUCUGUGUGUGCGCGCGCGUGUGUUGUGUGCAUAACUGGUUGUACAUAUUGCGUGAUUUUAUAGGAUGGGUGAAACAAAGCAGAUCUGGAGGCUGCAUUAAU